rnacentral:rRNA from 1 species
AUUGAACGCUGGCGGCAGGCCUAACACAUGCAAGUCGAGCGGGGUUUUCGGACCUAGCGGCGGACGGGCGAGUAAUGCGUAGGAAGCUACCCGAUAGAGGGGGAUAGCCCAGAGAAAUUUGGAUUAAUGCCCCAUGGUAUAAUCGGAUGGCAUCAUUUGAUUAUUAAAGUUCCAACGGUAAAAGAUGAGUAUGCGUCCCAUUAGCUAGAUGGUAAGGUAACGGCUUACCAUGGCAAUGAUGGGUAGGGGUCCUGAGAGGGAGAUCCCCCACACUGGUACUGAGACACGGACCAGACUCCUACGGGAGGCAGCAGUGAGGAAUAUUGGACAAUGGGCGCAAGCCUGAUCCAGCCAUGCCGCGUGCAGGAAUAAGGUCCUAUGGAUUGUAAACUGCUUUUAUACAGGAAGAAACACACCCUCGUGAGGGUACUUGACGGUACUGUAUGAAUAAGGACCGCUAACUACGUGCCAGCAGCCGCGGUAAUGUGACU